rnacentral:tRNA from 1 species
UGUGCGUAAUUUAAAGAAAAUGUUAAACUGUGACUUUAACAAUAGGAGUCUCCUCGCACAG